CCUACGGGUGGCAGCAGUGAGGCAUAUUGGUCAAUGGCCGAGAGGCUGAACCAGCCAAGUCGCGUGAGGGACGACGGUCCUAUGGAUUGUAAACCUCUUUUGUCGGGGAACAAAGGCGCCCACGGGUGGGCGGAUGAGUGUACCCGAAGAAAAAGCAUCGGCUAACUCCGUGCCAGCAGCCGCGGUAAUACGGAGGAUGCAAGGGGUAUCCGGAUUUAUUGGGUUUAAAGGGUGCGUAGGCGGACAGUCAAGUCAGCGGUAACAAUGCGGUGCUGAAAGCCGUACAGCCGUUGAAACUGGAAGUCUUGUGUGGGCGAGAAGUAUGCGGAAUGCGUGGUGUAGCGGUGAAAUGCAUAGAUAUCACGCAGAACUCCGAUUGCGAAGGCAGCAUACCGGCGACCUACUGACGCUGAGGCACGAAAGCGUGGGUAUCGAACAGGAUUAGAUACCCCUGUAGUC
rnacentral:rRNA from 1 species